GGUUUGGCACUUUUAUGAGAGUUAAAAAGAGAUGGGUACAUAAAUAUGACAACACGGUUGAGUUUCGGCUGUCUUUCUGUCAUUUCACUCCAUCAGUGGCGUGACGGUGGUGUGGUGUUUUUUUAUCAAAAAUUUUAAAAUAGUUAUUUUGUGUAUUUUAAUUUAAAUUUUAAUUUGUAAUAUACGUAGUAAUAUCGAUAAUAUACAAUGUAGGGGCGUUUGCACCAAGUUUUUUAAGCAAAACUUAACACUAUGUUUAGCUUAUUUUCUUGCACUAUGCUUUAAUCUAACUUGAAUUUAUAUUUAAAUUAAGCGGUCAAAUUUCCAGGCUAGUGGUCACUUAACCUAUCUUAGACACAAAAAUAUUGUUUUACGAGGAAGAAUUAUUGUUAUUCCUUUGAGAAAGCUAAAAAAUGUAUUAUGAUACCUCUACGACAGAGACUUUUAAACGACACUGUAAUAUAUAUCCUCGGUUUAAUCCUUGUUUAAUUGAACAAAAUCUAGAAUAUCAAAAUGAGAGAAACAACAGCAUAACUGCCUUAAAUCAACAACAAGUUUUAUAGUAUAUUUAGGUUUCCUGGGAUUAUAGGGAUAGUUGAUGAAACACAAUGUAAGAAAACAUUCACCUGGGGGUAUUGAUGGAGAGGUAAUUAGAAAUAGAAAAGCAUUAUUUUCCCCAACAUUUAAAUUACUGGAAAUGCUAGUCUUAAAACUAUAGACUUGAUUGCUUGUUGGCAUGGGUCUGUGCAUAAAGCCACCAUUUUUGGACAUUAAGGACCCGCAUGGAGACUGGUGACUUUUCAAAUUAAAUCCUGCUUGGUGAGAUUGCAUAUGCAUUGAGGGGAUAUAUGCAGAAAUAGAGCUGAAGAAAUGUUUCAGAAUUAUCGUUAUAUGGAAACGCCACUUUCCAAUAUGUGUUUUAUGGUAUAAGACCAAAAUUACAAAACACAAUGUCAGAUAUUGUUGCACAACAGUGAGUUAAGAAAAAUAUUAUCUGUUUAAUUAUAGAAUAAA